rnacentral:rRNA from 1 species
CGAAGGGGGCGAGCGUUGUUCGGAUUUACUGGGCGUAAAGGGCGCGCAGGCGGCCAUCAUUUGUCGAGUGUGAAAGCCCCGGGCUUAACCUGGGAACUGCGCUCGAAACGGGAUGGCUAGAGAUCGGGAGAGGAGCGUGGAAUUCCCAGUGUAGAGGUGAAAUUCGUAGAUAUUGGGAAGAACACCGGUGGCGAAGGCGGCGCUCUGGACCGAGACUGACGCUGAGGCGCGAAAGCGUGGGGAGCAAACAGGAUUAGAUACCCUGGUAGUCCACGCUGUAAACGAUGUGUGCUAGACGUUGGGGAGCCUAGCUCUUCGGUGUCGCAGCUAACGCGGUAAGCACACCGCCUGGGGAGUACGGCCGCAAGGUUA